rnacentral:rRNA from 1 species
UGGGGAAUUUUGGACAAUGGGCGAAAGCCUGAUCCAGCAAUGCCGCGUGUGUGAAGAAGGCCUUCGGGUUGUAAAGCACUUUUGUCCGGAAAGAAAUCCUUGGCUCUAAUACAGUCGGGGGAUGACGGUACCGGAAGAAUAAGCACCGGCUAACUACGUGCCAGCAGCCGCGGUAAUACGUAGGGUGCAAGCGUUAAUCGGAAUUACUGGGCGUAAAGCAUGCGCAGGCGGUUUGCUAAGACCGAUGUGAAAUCUCCGGGCUCAACCUGGGAACUGCAUUGGUGACUGGCAGGCUAGAGUAUGGCAGAGGGGGGUAGAAUUCCACGUGUAGCAGUGAAAUGCGUAGAGAUGUGGAGGAAUACCGAUGGCGAAGGCAGCCCCCUGGCAAGUACUGACGCUCAUGCACGAAAAGCGUGGGGAGCAAACAGGAUUAGAUACCCUGGUAGUCCACGCCCUAAACGAUGUCAACUAGUUGUUGGGGAUUCAUUUCCUUAGUAACGUAGCUAACGCGUGAAGUUGACCGCCUGGGGAGUACGGUCGCAAGAUU